AGAGCGAACGCUGGCGGCAGGCCUAAUACAUGCAAGUCGAACGCACCUUCGGGUGAGUGGCGGACGGGUGAGUAACACGUGGGAACGUGCCUUUUGGUUCGGAAUAAUCCGGGGAAACCUGGCCUAAUACCGGAUGUGCCCUUCGGGGGAAAGAUUUAUCGCCAUUAGAGCGGCCCGCGUCUGAUUAGCUAGUUGGUGAGGUAACGGCCCACCAAGGCUACGAUCAGUAGCUGGUCUGAGAGGAUGAUCAGCCACACUGGGACUGAGACACGGCCCAGACUCCUACGGGAGGCAGCAGUAGGGAAUCUUGCGCAAUGGGGGAAACCCUGACGCAGCCAUGCCGCGUGAAUGAUGAAGGUCUUAGGAUUGUAAAAUUCUUUCAGCGGGGAAGAUAAUGACUGUACCCGCAGAAGAAGCUCCGGCUAACUUCGUGCCAGCAGCCGC
rnacentral:rRNA from 1 species